GCAAGGUAGAAGCUGAGAGGGACGAGAAAAGAGAAGAAGGAGAGGCCAGAGAACGGAGUUCUGAGGUCUCUGAGGGCCUUACUUCCGGGUGGUCUUCAAGCUGUGGAAGUCCUGGCACUGCCUGGGACUGGAGCAGGACCAAGGUGGAUGGAUGGCUUUCAUCAAAUCAACUGAAGACCUCAAAGGCAAAGACUGAAAGAAUGCUGAUUCGAGAUUGGCACAACAAUUCCAUGAGCGUUUACAACUUUCUUCCUUGCAGAAUUCACCCUGCACACUGCAGCAUCAACCUUUGCUGAAGUUUCGGGUUGCCGUUUGCUCUGAGUACCAUCCCUCCCACGGUCAGCAUCCGGCAGGAGAAGAAGCCACAGGGACUUCUCUUUGUCACCCACCGUCCACAGCCUGAGAGUUUAUUCUGGGAGAUGUGUCACUGUGGAUUUUGACCAAAGCUGAAUGACAUGUUUCUACCCUCCACUUUGCUUUUUCCGUAAGGAAGAAUUCCAGCUGCGUAGCUUCAAAGACUCUACUUCCUCCCUGCUGGGCUGCAAGCGGAGAAUUAUCACCCUGGGAACAGCGAGGGUCUGAAACGCAGGAGCUGAGCCGGCCCCGUGUAGCUGAAGGGACCUUGCUGAAUCUCUCUAAAAGUCAUUUGUUCCUGUUCUGGAGAUCGUCUGUCAGUAUUGGGAGCAUUACUGAGCCACAGACGUCGCUUUCAUUCCUUCAUAAAGCCCAGCUGCUGGGACUUGUCGACCAGGGAAGAUUUCACCCAUGGUGGAAAAUGCAAGGUUGAAACAGGAGUCCUGCUGCUCUCCAGCGCAGUGGGAGGUCCUCCUGGGUGCUCUUCUUUCCUGGCAGAAAGAGGAAGUGCUAGAGAAAUGGCCUUUGAGUUCUGCUAUCAGCAGUGGGGAGGCUGUGGUGAGUUUGAGUUUGGUUUUAAAAGGAGUGAUUAGCAUCUCUCUAAGAAGGUCAGAGAGAAAGCUGCUUGGGGGCUGUGGAGAGGGAUGAGGGACAGAUUUGACAUAGCUGUCAUUACCUCCCAAGGAGGCCCAAAGGGCUUGGAAAAUCAUCAAAGCAGGAAUUCCCAAAGUGCAUGGUCAGGAAAUUCUUGAAAACAAAGUUUUGUUUGCAGAAGUAGGUUGCAGGACGCCAUUGACGGAGCAGUAAAACUUGGGUUUCCAGGAGUUUGUUAUAAGCAGGGUGGUACGGAACCAGAACGACGUAUCAAUAAAAGAGAAGGGCCCCAGAUGUGAGAAACACAAUUGAUACGCGGGCCCUGUGUUGGAUGAAUGUACCUUACACAGUUAGUCAGUUCCCUGGAAGAGCUCUAGAACUCACCUCGUGCCUCACAGGAACUAGGGACAUGAUAAACAUCCGGUGAAUGAAAACCUUUAAGUCUGAUGUUGCAACUUCCUGGGCUGUUGAGAACAAUGGUGAGACCACAAUGGCCUCUUCUGUGUGGUGAGUAGGGAAGGACCCUGUUGGCUGAACUUACAGCAUCUGUUUGAUAAACCAGUUACUGGAGUCGGCCCAGCCAGAUGCCCGGCGGGAAAACGCAUCUCUGAUGUGGUUUUGAGCACAUUCUGUUUUGUUUUGUUUUUUUCUCCCCUCAUGGCGUUUCCUUCUCUGAGUUCUUAUGACUCCUUCUUUGCACUCCUCUCACAUCGCUUCGACUGGGAAAGAAGAGCAAAGCGCUCAGAGCUAGGAUUCCUCGGUUCAGGGAGUAACCAGGGAAGGAAGUACUUACUGGCAGCUUUGUUGGCAGGACUCUGGAGAGGCUGACUUCUAUGGUCUUGGUAGCCCAGACUAGGCUGAAACAGCUGUACAGCCAGUGCUGACCCUCCAUCCUCCUGCUACUACCUCCCAAGGGCUGAGAUGAUAGAUGUCUACCACCGUGCCUGGCCAUGGGCAUUUGAAGGCAAAUUACAGGUGCUGCAGGAACCCAGGAAGACGGAGAGCAACAGACCCAGGAGGCCACAGCUGGAAACAAAAGCGAGGACUCAGUUCUAGGGGUGUUCCAAAUAUGGAAGCCUUCUGUCAGAUUCCCCAUGAAUCCACGGGAGACCGUGAUUGUCACAUAAAAAGACAGAGAUUUCUCCUUCUUACCUCCCACAUUGUUGUUUUAACCAUUUUACAACUAAGCUAUGGUGAAGACCUUGGUCCACUUAUGAAAACGGAUCCGUCCCUCUCGUCUAAGACUGUGUCCAUUGCAAAAACGGCAGGUUCAAAGUGAGGGCAUCUUUGUUGCUCCGUUGACUUAUUUUUGGGUUUCUCCCCUCUCUGUGACUCCUCAGUGUCUCACGAGUUCCUCCUCUCCCUGCCGACCCUUCACAGACUCCAUCUCACUCACGACACACGGACAUGGCAUCCCUACGAAGGCGGUGAUGAUCAGGUUUCAAAGGACAAUGCAGCACGCUGAGGAGAAACCAUCUCCAGAAAGCAAGGACCCCUAAGACUCGCAAGAUAAAAGGACCUUAUUUUCUUGGCAAGCUCCGUAGAUGUUCUGCAAUGACGGAUGAUAUGACUGUUAUCUUGACACCGUACUCUCCCAUGUUGAAACUGUUUAUGAGAACCAAACAUCAUAUGAAGAACAGAUUGCCAGACGCUAAGUAAAUCAUUGUAAAGGGUGGUGAGUCAAGUAUUGCCAGUUUUACCCACAUUGUCAUUGUUAUGAUGUAACACAUUCCUUAAGACUGAUAUUGUCUCCAAAUUUGGGCACAAAAGCCUCCUCUUGAUCAGUUGGCUGAGAGCCUCUCCCUCCUGAUAUGUCCCACUUAGACACAGCUGCAGAGACCCACGCAUCCAGAUUUGGACAGACACCCAACCUGAGUUAAGCACAAAGAACAACCCAGAAAAGAUAGAAUAUUUUAAAAGGUGUGCGGAGAUUACACAAACUGUAAAUUUCAACCCUUGCUCAAGCAAUAAACCCUGUAAUCCUCUAAGCUCUGCUAGCCAUGAUUAAUAAACAGUGGGUGUGCUAAGCAUAUGGAAAAAUCAUCCCAUCUGGACCAUUUAAAACUAGGACAUAGACUUUAUCUUUGUUUAUUUCAUCCUUAGCUAAAAGGCUUAUUAUGAAUUGCAAUAAUCCAAGAAGCCAACCAUGGAGGACAGACAAACUCUUUAGAUAAAACCAAAAAAGCAAGCUCUGUAACUGAGGACCAGAUGUAUUUUUGGGUUUAGCUCUUGUACAUAUUUAGCCGAGCUUUUCAAGUGGGGAAGAUUUGCAUGUUUGUUUUGCAAUACUAAUGAAUAUGUUUUUGAUUUACAUUUUAGAAAAUGGAAACUUUUAUCUUCUUGGGGCUUUGUAACUUAAUGACUUCCAGAGGGUAGCUUCAUGUCCUCUUUUAACCCUUCACCAUGAGAAACAUAUCUCGUUCAGAGGCCCAGCGCUGGGUCUUGCCGAAUGAACCCCCCCUAAGAUAAUGUGAUUCUGUCUUUGCUGCUGGGAUGGUAAGGGUGAAAGAGCAUAUGACUUUCAAUCUAGUGAAAACAUAUGUAAAUGGCAAAUUAUUUUUAAACUGGCUUUAAUGUGAAUCUUGGGGGUAUAAAAAUGACUUCACAGAUGAUCUUUAUAUUAGACAAGCAAGCAGAGCUCUUUGGGAUAAACGUUUGCUUUGGGAGGUAGAAUCUUCAGUAUUGCUUCAACUUCCUCAGCGAUAAAGAUUGUUGGAAGAGCAAAAUGUCACAGUAUUUUUAAAAAUUACUCCAGAAGAUAUCCGUAGGGUCAGAUCUUCCUUCCUUUCAACUUCUUUGAAGAUGUUACGUGGGAAAAAAAAAUCAGUAAACACAUUUUACCCCCAGGACUUCCUUUCUUUGUAAUUUGGGUUGGACAGGGACCUUAUCAGAAAUGGAAAAAUUUAUCCUUGAGGGGUAAGAGUGUUUUAGAAGAAGAUAUAAUGAGAGCUGUGAACUCUCAUUCUAUGACAAAUGGUCUGAAGAGAUUGCCUUUCUUCUAAACUCUUCUAGUGGUUUUAAAAAGCAGCAUGCGGCAGACUAGAAAGACACCUUUAGAACCUGUGUUGGGGCCAUGAAAUCUCUGAAAUGCUUAGCUUUCUGGGACAAAUGGAGGUGUUAGGUCACAUGGAGCAUGAAACCAUGGGGGAACAUUUUACAUUGGUUCCACAGUUGUGAGUUGUGCUGAGGCUCAUUGAAAUUGUACUGGUGAGGACCAUGUAGUUCCCUGAUAAGGAACCUAGUGGCAUUUUUAUGGUGUCACAUCUGAGAGGCAUCUGACCAGGAGACCCUAAGCCCACUUCUUCUCAUGGGAAAUCGUUUUACCCCUGGAGACUAUUUCUCCCACUCAGCGUCUGUUAAUAACUAGUUUAAACUUUCCAGACAGUUUUAUAGUGUUGUAUUAAAAUUAGAUACAUAUUUGCUGAGAGUUCUUGGAUAGCAAGCGUUUUCUAACACAAUUUCUUCAAAACAAGAAAGGUGGAAAUGUGGUGUAAUAAUUCCUUAUUUUCCCUUUGAAAGCCCUCCAAAGCUUUCAGUUCUAGUCUAUUUUAAGGCUCUACAGAAAACUACCUAUAUGUCUUUAAAAACUAGAUACCUUUCUUAUUAUUCUGAAUUCCAGACUAGAAACAUGCUUCUUUCAGUAUGACCUUAAUUUCUUAUCUUAAAUUAUUUAUUCAUGAUUUACUUGUUAAUUUAUCCUCCUAUGUAAUGAAGAGGAAGGGAACAAUUAACUAACUGAUUCUCUAAACAUUGCAUGCCAGGGAUUUAGUACUAGUUAUUUGAUUAUCUUAGAAGAAAGUACACACAGGUCUUACAGAGGAAAGCUGAAGUGUUGAGAACUGCCCCAGCCUGUGGAAGAGCUAACAUUCAAACUCCAGUCCAUCUGCUUUCUCAAAUAAUUUUCUGUGUCCACUGUUUCCCAAUCAUCAAUCUAAAGCCUUUUGGAUGGGGCUUCAGGACUACUCCAGGUAUCUGGAAAUCCUACGGGGCACGAAAAAGUCAUUUUGGGUAAGCCGUAGGAGCACGCGGUAAGAGGGUGGAGAACAGAAGAACAAUAGUGGCCUUGGCCUCUCCUUUCUAACUGGUGCACAGAUUCUUUGGAAACUCUGAGGAGUCUUAAGGAUGUUUACCUAGGAAACCACAUACACAGCUAACAAACACUUGCUUCAAUUUUUAGUAACUUGAAUGUGUGAUGAAGCUGAUUGGGUUGAUGGGGUUCUGCUGUGAGUCUGCCCCCAAUCUCCAAUGUCCUAAAGUGUGGUCCGUGCCUAGCAGCAGCAGCAGCAGCAGCAGCAGCAGCAGCAGCAGCAGCAGUUUCUGCACGUUCUUAGAAGAGAGAGUCUCUGGUCCCCAUCAGAUCUGGGACAUGAAAUAAAAUGCUAGACGUUAAGGAUGUUCUUUGGGUCAUCUAGCGUUAUUCCUCAGACAUUCUUGAAUGACUGACUACCCAUUGCUUUUUAGAACACCUCAAGGGAAACAAAGUCUUCUGAAGUGAGUCCCCUGCUCUUGGUCAGUCCCCUAGUCAAGUUCUUUUAUAAAUGGAAAUGAAAUCUGCCUCCCUCCCUUGUUAUGGCUCCCAUUUCUGCCCUGUCAGCUGACAGUUUGAAGCUUCUUCCCUGUUUGAGAGUCAGCCCUGAAUAUUUCCUUGUUCUGUAGACACGGGAAUUACAGUCGACAAUGUAGAGUCAAACUUGGGCUAGUUACACAUGUAGCAAAUUCUUGAAUGUGUACAUUAAAAUCCUCCAAUAUCCCUGAAAUAUGGCAUUACAUAAGCUCUCAGUCAAUCAUGACAUUGUGAAGGGAAGAGGGGAGGUCAAAUAUUUGGCUGAAAGAGCUCACAUUAUUAAGAUUAUAUUAAGGAUUCAAUUUUGUGCAAGCCUUCCUGUAAGUUUCCCUUUUCCAUCCCCCUGUCUCACAUCACGCCUCUCUCCUGCUAGCUUGAAUUGUCAGCACACCUGUACCUUUUUAAUGGUUAUGGUUAAACCCCAGUGCCAGCUGGAGAGAAAGGUCACGUUUCAUGGUGGGUGUAACUGGAGAAUAGUGUUUCUUAGGAGUAGAGGUGGCAGCGCCUUUUGGGAAAGCUUGAGAACAUAGGCUUAUUCAAAAGCCACUUACCUUGGGUACUGAAUUAUCUUAGAAAAAAAAUACUUGAUCAGGCCUCCAUUGUUAUUGUGGCUCUCCCUCAUAUAGUCAGGGAUUGAGUGAGUGGUCAGAACAAGACAGGUCGCCAAACAGAGGUAGGAUCUGAACUGCAAGCAAAGGAAAGCUGCAGGUAAUUGGAUCUAGUAUGUAAUAUGAGGUUUAUUACACGCUUUCACACCUCUUCUCUGUAUGAAUGGAUGGAUGGUUUCCCUUGUCUAGUGGCCACGAAUCAUCUUUCUUAAUGGAAACCACGUUUGCUGUCAGAGUAAUUAAAAAGUAACUCCUAUUUCUAUAGUUUCUAUAGCAAGCCUGUUACCAAAGUGACCUGGUGAUGGAAUGCAGACAUUGGUGAGUACCCCCACAGUCUUUCAAACUUCAGAGUGCCUUUCAAGGGAAAGUCACGAUGUAUAGACCAACAGUACUUAAACUGUAGAAUCACCCUGGCUUCAAAAGAGAUAGGGGGACAUCGGAAAGAUGGAAAGUGCUUAGCGCUUGAGUUUAAAAAUUUUUCGUUUCAUUUGUAGAAACACAAAAAUAUCCAAGAUCUAAUCUUAAACUAAAACUUGGCUCUAAGAGACAUGUGCAAUAAAUUAACAGAUUAAAGUUGUUUACACCUUUGGCACUCUAAAUCUCAUAUUUCUGCUUUAAAUAGCUUUCCUGGCAAUUACAUACUAGAAUUUUUCAAUAUAUAAUAAUUCUAAAAGUUGCAUGGUGGAUAACAUUUUGGGGGGUUGUCAAUACCAU